rnacentral:misc_RNA from 1 species
GUUAAUCUUAAUGCGCUUUUUUGUUUGUUUUUGAAAUGUUCUCAAAAUGAUGUUCUCAAAUUGAAAUGUUCUCAUUGUUAUAUACAGAGAUUUUAAAAAAGGUGGCCAAAUGGUUUAUACUUUAAAAAAAGGCGAUGGCAUCAUGCUCCACUUCGAGCACUGUAUAUCUAACUUUGAGAUUCUGUAUGAUACUUGUCUCUCUAAUAUCUCAACAACUAUGUAUAACUUUUUUAUUAAAAGAUAUUAAAAUAUGUAUCAGUAUGUAAAUCGCUCUCUAUUAUCUCAAUAUUUGGAUGAUGACAAAGGUGUAAACUUACAUUAUUUUUAGCAUAUUUGUUUAAUUACAAAAAAACCAGCCAGAUUUUUUUCAAAAACAAAGUUCUUCCAGUUCAUAUCAAUGUCAAUAUAAGUUUGGCAUUGACUCUAUGUUAAAAGAUCACCCUAAAGGUGCAUCAAUCUUAUCUGAAUAUGAACGAACCGGGCAGUUAGUCUUGAUGAAAGAUCUUUUUGUGCGUAUCAUUGUUGGAAAUCUUGUAAAAAAUAGUAACUGCUAUCCAAAGGAAAACGCAAAGGGUUGUCAACCGAUCUUACAAUAUUACUUGACGAAAUAGCAGCUAACAACAACCUACAUAAAGAUACCAAAGAAGAGUACGCUCUAUUACUACUUCCACUUAUGCUAAAGGUUCCUAUGCGAAAUCGGCAACGUGUCUUGGUUGCUGAAGUUUACAAGCGAUUUAUCCAGCUUCAUUCUUAUGGAACUUCAAUGGACGAAAUUCUUUCUAAAAUCAAAAGUGACAGUAUUAAACAACCAAUAAUUAUUGCAUUGGGUGUAACUGGCAACAUAAGCUAAUCCUUUGUCGUUGUAGAAAACGAAGUUAUUGAAUCGCGUUGUAUGGUUUCUCCUGUUGAUAAGUGUUUCAAGCUACACUAAAUCGGUCAAAUUGAGUACGACCAAAGUGUAAGUCAUGUUUGGCAGUUUUUGCAAGUGCAUUUUUAUGGGAUCUUGGACAAUUUUCCUAUCUCAGAAUGUGUACGAGAUCUUGUUACUUUUUUAAAAGCACGUUAAAUUUAACACUCUUUUAAAUAAGCAACAUCUACACACAUUGUGAUAUAGAAAAAUUAUCAAAAAUGUUAUUCAAAUGCACACAUCAACAAAAUCUUUUUUAAUUUAUUUGCAGUAUUUACUAAAAAGUAAUAUUUACAUUGUAAUGUUUGUAAUUAUGGUAAAAAAAAAUUUUUAACUUAAUUAUUGUAAUCAUAUCUACCUGGAAAUUAUAACUAAAUAACAUGGUUAAUGAAAUCAAAAUGAAUUUUAUCAGCAUAAAUUUAAGUAACUGGAAUCGAAUACAGUUAUGAAUGUGAAAAGUCUUGAAUAAUAUAGUAUAAUAUAGAUUUUGAAUCGCAACAGCAUAACCAUGUUAAAAUAGGCAUGCCCAAAAACUUUACUUAACAAGAUUAAGACGAGAUUGUUUCAUAAUCAAUUUUAUCCACAAUAAAAAUGCCGACAAUAUAAUAUAUAUUAAGUCGGUAUAAAAAACCCCAGUUGGCGAAAGUUUUUCGCUGAAUAUACAGUAAUAGAAUUCCUAAAUUUCAGUGCAACAAAAUCCCUGAUUUUCAGAAGGCUUGGUUUCCCUGAUUUCCAGAGAAAAAGAACUGCCAGAAAAUCAGGCGAUUACACCUGACAAUCAGUUGUGCCUAAACGCAAUGAUUAAUUCAGUUUUUUCCCCUGAAUUUCAGUUGUGGAUUCCUGAUUUUGUUUAAGAGUGUAUUGGAACUGUUUAAACGCACGUUUUACUGACAGAAAAAAAGGUUGCGAAAAUAUAUCUUGUAAAGAAUUUCUCAUAUGCUAUAUUAGCUUUUGAGAUAUGGCUAUGGAUUGGAGAUAUGAUUAUGAAUAAGACUAAAGAAAAAGUUUUUUUGUGAACUACAAUCGAGAUAAAAGUAAGAAUAAUAUAAAAUCUCUAUUGCGGAUGAUAUUUUUGAUUCAAUGCACCCCAUAUGUUUUAGCCAUGAAAAGUAUUAUCUAUCGCAUAUGAAAUUAUAUAUUAUAUAUCACUUACCAUGGCAUAAAACUUUAUGUAUUUUUCCCGUUUGACUAUUA